AGAGGAUAAGUGCUGAAAGCAUCUAAGCACGAAACUUGCCCCGAGAUGAGUUCUCCCUGAGACUUAGAGUCUCCUGAAGGAACGUUGAAGACGACGACGUUGAUAGGCCGGGUGUGUAAGCGCAGCGAUGCGUUGAGCUAACCGGUACUAAUGAACCGUGAGGCUUAACCUUAC
rnacentral:rRNA from 1 species